UUAGGAUAUAAGGAAAUUUCUACUACAUGUCCAUGGAACAUUAAGUCGGGAUAUAAGGAAAUGGGUGUUUGAUUAGUCACUGCUGCAAGGCCCCACUAUUUAAAUCUACUUGAACUAGUGCAUUGCCUUUAGGGCAUAAACACAUGUAUGUACUUGCCAUUGGGGCCAUUUUAAUUUUUUUUCUAGUCCACAUCAAAUAUUUGGUUCUGUGGGAUAUGUUAUCCCUCUGAAAAGUGAAGACUGUGGGAGUCAUAGGGCUUAAGUUAGGGCGGAGUUGCUAGGUCUCCAUGGAGAAGUGCGGCGAAAACCCAGCACAAUCAGCAACGGGAAGCUUGUCUUAAAGGAGCUUUGUGUCCCCCUGCGUGGAAUCGCCUCGAUGAGGUCUCUGCGUUUGGGGGUCGGCAUGGUUUCCAUAGUCGGUGGGCCAGCGUUGCUACGUCCCCACUCUCCCCUCAGUGGAGUGGCGGGCGCGCGCAAGUAAGUUGAGGGCACCCUCUUCGGGGGGCGUACCGGACCGAGGCAGCAAGUAGGACGCUAGGCCUACGGGCUAAGGGGUCUGAACCUGUCACGUGCAAUGGGUCCAAUGAUACUGAAAGCGUGGUGGUGCGAAUGAAAGGGUGUACCAUCGGCGCGGUACAGACCUGAGCAACGGCCUGGAAACAGGAUGCUUGUCUUAAAGGUGCGGGUAGUCGUGUCCCUUUUUAGGGGCAUGGCCCUGUUAUCAUAUUUGGUGAGCAAACGCUGCUACGUCCUCGAAUCACCCCCCGAUGGGGGACGGGGGUUGAGGGGCGGCAUGCAUAGAAGUUAGGGCACCCCUUGGGGUGGACCGGACAGUGGCAUUGGUACGCCCUUGUCACAGCGAUGGGCCCGAUGAUACGGAAAGCAUGUUGGGGCUGGUAUCCUGGGACCUUCACGUGGUGGCCCUGUUUUGACUAACCUGACCAGGAUAUUCAUCAUGCUGUGGAUGGAGUGAAGAUGACAUCAGUGUUGUUAAAGCCAAAUGUGAUCUAGUGAGAACACACAGGAGAUGAUUCUGCUGCAGUACCUGUGGCAAAGGACUAUCAGAGCAAAGGUUGUACACUGCUAUUACUGUUCCAUCGCCCAGGUGCACAGGGAUUGCAUCCUUGCUCUACCUCAGCCUUCCUGUGACAGCAUUGAACCUCGGAUUAGCCAGAUCAGCCUCCCAUUAGGCAUAAGUGGACCGCACAGGAAAAAUGAUAGCCUAAUAGAGAGACUGAUGGAGAGACGUAUAAGUCUGGACAGUAUCAGACACUUACAAUGGAACGGAUCAUUUGAGGGGGUGGGGCAAUAAGCUCCACCUUGACCACUGCAACUUGAACAUUUACCUUAUAAGGAUUCGGAGCGUAUCAAAGAACUGGAUAGGUGCUUAUUCAACUGGACUGAAAUGAACUAAACGCAAAACCUGAUCGAUCAUGCCCCGCGAUUUGACUUGACAGUUAAUUAGAACUGUUGCAAGUUUUCCAUACCUCUGAACUGUUGCUGAUAUGAUGUCGUCGUUCGUCUUAAAAGAACGGGAUACGUGCUCAAACUGUGAUGACAAAUCCAAGCAUAAACUGACCGUUGUGAUCGCGGGAACCUCUUCUAUGGAGAAACUAUUGCGCGUGCGUUUAACCUUUUUGCUUGACAACCGAUGGAACUUUUCAUCAUCAGAACUUUCAUGAGUGGUGGUGGGAAAUGUGAAAAGUUUUCAAAUGUUUCCUAUUUUAAUUGUUCUUUUUUUCUUCAAUGUUAUUUUUCAAAAUCAGCUGCUUAAAUUCUGGUAUUUUUGUUAUUUGGGCAUCCUUUUUUAUCCAAUGGUUCUCAUUUUCGAGCAAUGUCCUCGGCAACCUAUGCAACCCCAGAAGAUGUGAGGGUGUUGCAUCCGGGGUCUAUUGUUUAGCGUUAUGUCAUGGCUACCGCUGUAACAAAUUAAUGUUAGCGAGUUGCAUAGUGCUCAAAUUCAGUCAACUACAUUGCCAAAGAUGGCGUUAUUUAUUUUGUUUAUGCACUUUGCAUCAUUUAAUUUAUUUAUCUUUACAAGGUGGAAUUGUAAUUAUUUUUCUUCAGAACUUUUUUGGCCAACCAACCGACCCUACUUCAGGGACAAAAAAAUAAAAAUGAGAACCAUAGAAAUAAAAAGGGACACCCAUAAAUGUUUAUUCUUUGAAUAUUGUAAAUUGUUUCAUGCUACUAUUCGGUGCCCGGCAGUAGGGCAUAUGAGCGUCCUGACGCAAAAAUCAUUUUCAAGAAAAUUGCAUUGAAAGGUUCUAUUGUUCCCCCACGCGUAUUAUGAAUCCAAUGUUCUCCCACGCGUAUUAUAAAUCGUACGAUUUUGAAAGUUGUCACACGUGUCAAUCAUGUGUUUUGGAACAACCUGUAUUCAUUUCUGACAAAAAUGUCUAAAUUUUAUUAAAAUAGAUGCAGUUUUCUGCAUAUGCCAUUUUGCUGGGAACAUUUGGGUCAUUACGCGCUAUUGCCCUUCUGCCAGGCACACGACAAAUUUAUGCUAAGAAAAACAAACCUUUUGAUAUAUUCACAAUGCAUCUUGGGUAUGGAUGACAAACGUAGGAGGCUGUGAAUCAGUAAUACCACUUUCAUUGAUUGUUCCUCAUAUACAUGUAGUACGGUCAAUUUAGAACAAAUUGCAAUAGGAUUCAUUUUAAUGCUAUCCUGCUAAAGAAAUGUCACUACUUAAAGCUAAUUUCAUCAAAGGAGUGAAAAAGUAUUUUUAUUCACUUUUUCGCUACUAAUUGUUCAUCACGUAAACAAUGGUAUGUACAGAGAGCGUAAAGUCUUAAGCCGUGAUCGGCAAAAAAAUGUGCAUUCAGCUAACUCAUGCAGCCCUAUUUAUAGGCAAAUCAACUAAACCCAGCCUAACGCCUUUUGUUUAUUAACUAGGCCUUUUUUUCCCUUUUUUUAAUUUCAAGAAAAUAUUGGCAUCACCAUGGGCAUUGCAAAGGGAGG
rnacentral:lncRNA from 1 species